GUCGAACGAUGAUGGGAGCUUGCUCCUGGAUUAGUGGCGAACGGGUGAGUAACACGUGAGUAACCUGCCCUUAACUCUGGGAUAAGCCUGGGAAACUGGGUCUAAUACCGGAUAUGACUCCUCAUCGCAUGGUGGGGGGUGGAAAGCUUUUUGUGGUUUUGGAUGGACUCGCGGCCUAUCAGCUUGUUGGUGAGGUAAUGGCUUACCAAGGCGACGACGGGUAGCCGGCCUGAGAGGGUGACCGGCCACACUGGGACUGAGACACGGCCCAGACUCCUACGGGAGGCAGCAGUGGGGAAUAUUGCACAAUGGGCGCAAGCCUGAUGCAGCGACGCCGCGUGAGGGAUGACGGCCUUCGGGUUGUAAACCUCUUUCAGUAGGGAAGAAGCGAAAGUGACGGUACCUGCAGAAGAAGCGCCGGCUAACUACGUGCCAGCAGCCGCGGUAAUACGUAGGGCGCAAGCGUUAUCCGGAAUUAUUGGGCGUAAAGAGCUCGUAGGCGGUUUGUCGCGUCUGCCGUGAAAGUCCGGNNGCUCACUCCGGAUCUGCGGUGGGUACGGGCAGACUAGAGUGAUGUAGGGGAGACUGGAAUUCCUGGUGUA
rnacentral:rRNA from 1 species